rnacentral:lncRNA from 1 species
GGGUUUGAAAGAAAAGGAUGAGUCAAAGGAGCACAGUUCCUCAUAUUCUACUAAAAUAAUCAGUUUAGGGUUUCUUACACCGGAAUCAGCCACAAUCAAAAACGACCGUCAUCGUGUCAUCUGGUAGGUGCUUCCGCCAGUGAAACUCCGAUUAGUUCUUAACCGCCAUACGAACGGGUAGCUGAAGCAGCUCCCCAAUGAAAUGAACGGCGGUUCUCCUCUCUCACGACUCCGGUUAAUUCUUAACCGCCAAACCAACAGGUGGUUGAAGCAACGCCGGAAUCAGACGAUCAGUGGCUCUCCUCUUUCUCAAUCAGUAUGUUUGAAUCUUUAAUUUGUAACUAUUUUCUUUUUAAAUUUAAUCAAAUUUUGGUUUUCUGAGCUGUUCUAGUAUAUAUAUACAAAAACAUAAACCUAAAGUCUAUCUCUUUCAACAUCCUCUCUCUAUCCCUCUGUAACCUAAGUCUCACCACCGUCACUCCAGCCACACAGUCCGCCCAGCACCGUGUAACCUAAGGUCUCACCACCGCCACUCUAGCCACCAUCCACCACUCAGCCGCCACCUAAACGCCUCACCACCACCACUUCGACCAUCGACACCAGAAUCACCAUCACCACCACUUCAACCCAUGUAACCUACCUCAGAUCUAAAACCCUUGUAGAUCUAGGAAAUUAUACCUAAACCCUAAAAAAUCUACUCGUCAAUUUGCGAUACUGGUUUUGAAAUAAAAAAAAGUGAGGGUUUCGCCGGAUAGAGAGGAGACCAUUGAUGUUUUAGUCAGCAAUCGAACAAUCAAACAACAGAGGGCUUGUGCGAAUAAACAGAUCUUGCUCAGAUCCGUUGCACAAUUCACCACUAGAAGAUCUCCUGAAUGAGGCUGGUGCCGGAAGCGUUGGUUGCUGAAAAAAAGAUGAUUGAAAGGUUUUAGAGAUUGGAAUUGGUGAUGCGGUGGUUAGAGAGAGAAAGAGUAGGGUGGGUAAUGGUAACAUAGUGGUGGUUUCAGGUAGAGGUGGUUUUAGGCUGUGAUGGUGGUGGUGACAACACUGUGGUGGUGGUGGUGGUAGUGACGAUUGAGAUUUUGAAUGAGAGAGAGGAGUUGUUGAGAGAGACAAAGUUUUGGUUUUUAUAUUAACAAAUGGAUAAAAUAAAAUUACAAGGUAAAAUGACUAACAUACCAUUGCAUAUGAUAUAACUUAACUAAAAAAUUAAACCAUGUUAGUGCUCAAGGAUGUAAGUUGUAAUGAGUUUCCAAAUAAAGGAUUGUAAUUGUAAUUAUUGAAGUUAAAGGUCAUCCAUUGCAAUCCGAUAUAAACAUAAAGAACGAAAAGUGUAAUUUAUCCAAAAAAAAGCAACAUGGCGGAUUUGUAGAACCGGCAGCGGCACUAUAGGUGUCGAUUUUGAUCAGUGACGGCCGCAUCUCUGCAUGAAAGAUUGACACUGAAUAGAAAGGAAAUCCACAAUCGCAACGAUCAGACAUCCGGUGGUGGCGACUGUUGUAGCCACCGUCACCGGAAACGGAGAGAGAGAAAGAGAUGUAGAGAGGCGGCUAGGCGGUUUUGUAGUGGUGGUACGACAGUUGGUUCGGCUUGACAGAGACGAUGAUGAUGUGAACGAAUUUCAGAUCUGAGCUUCAAACGGUUUCUGAAAUUGAGACGGCGCCGGUGAUGUGAUGGUUGCCGUCGUCGUAGACGGCUAGGAAAUCACCUACGCCCUCUUGAUCUUUUCCACACAUCUCUCUCACACAUGUGUUUGUUGGUUUUUAGUAGAGAGUAAACCUUCUGAUUCGAGAGAGUCAGAGAAAACUCUUUUCUUUGAAGGGUUUUUUGUUUAUGGGUUCUGUCUGAGGGUAGAAAAGAGUUAUCAAUGAGAUUUUGUUAAGUGUUUGUAAUUAGUUUGUAAACAUAUAAGAUUUCCUCUGUUAAAAAAAACUAACUCUUUAUUUUACUUUGUAUCCAGAUUUUAAAUCUGCAUUCAUUAAGCUUUGGAAUUAUUUUUUAUGAAGAUUAAAUUUAUCGAUAUAAUUGAUAAAUUGUGAUAGUUAUGUUGUAGCUACAUGUACCUUAUGCAUUGGUGUACAUUGCUCUAUCUUUGUGUAUUUUUAUUAUGGAAAACACUAUUAAAAAUCAUGGGCUGGUUAAACAAUAUU